GCGGGCGUAGCCGAAUUGGUACAGGCGCCAGACUUAGGAUCUGGUGGGACGGAAGUCCCGUGGGAGUUCGAGUCUCCCCGCCCGCACCA
rnacentral:tRNA from 1 species